CGUGGUUAACCUGCCCUUGGGACGGAAACACCCCCGGGAAACUGGGGCUAAUUUCCGAUAGGUGAAGACUUCUGGAAUGGAUCUUCGCCUAAAGGGCGCCUAGGCCAUGCUUCUAAGCGCUGCCCAAGGAUGGGACCGCGGCCGAUCAGGUUGUUGGUGAGGUAAUGGCUCACCAAGCCUUUAACCGGUUCGGGCCGUGGGAGCGGGAGCCCGGAGAUGGGCACUGAGACAAGGGCCCAGGUCCUACGGGGCGCAGCAGUCGCGAAAACUCCGCAAUACGCGAAGGCGUGACGGGGCUAUCCCGAGUGCCGUCCGCUGAGGAUGGCUUUUCCCCAGUGUAGAUAGCUGGGGGAAUAAGGAGAGGGCAAGUCUGGUGUCAGCCGCCGCGGUAAUACCAGCUCUCCGAGUGGUGGGGACGAUUAUUGGGCCUAAAGCAUCCGUAGCCAGCUGAGCAAGUCCCCAGUUAAAUCCAGCGAUUUAAUCGUUGGACUGCUGGGGAUACUGUCCGGCUAGGGGGUGGGAGAGGCCGACGGUAUUCCCGGGGUAGGGGUGAAAUCCUAUAAUCCCGGGAGGACCACCAGUGGCGAAGGCUGUUGGCUAAAACAUGCCCGACGGUGAGGGAUGAAAGCUGGGGGAGCGAACCGGAUUAGAUACCCGGGUAGUCCCAGCUGU
rnacentral:rRNA from 1 species